UUCCUAACCUGCCGAGCCACAACAGGAGCUCCUGAAGCAUAUUCCUGAUUGCGUCACUCUUCUGCUCUAAAACCUCUUAUGGUCCACAGACUAGAUCUCAAGUCCCUGGUUUUGCUGUUCAGGGUCCGCCGUCUGGACUCAACUUACAUAUAAGCAACUUCAUCCCCCAGCUGCACCCUUCCUGUGCCUGAUACUUCGGCGCAACGGACUCGACCUUUUUCUCUUGUGUCCUUUCUGGGAUCACCCUCCUCAGAGCCUUGUCCCUGCUGUCCUUUUGGGACACCCAGACUCUCCCACAUACCCAAUUCUACCAUCAUUCAGAGCUCAGAGGAAGUGUCAUGUCUCCUUGCAGCUUGCCCUGAGUUUUCCUUCACCGAUUGGAAGGAUUCUCUCGAACUUUGUCUAAACCUCUCCAGUGGCUGCUCCACUUUCUAUGCUGCCUUUUGUUUGAAUAUAAUUUAUUCACAACGGGUCACCUGCCACUGUUCCUGUGUCUUCUUGUCUCCUGCCUGCUGUCAUUAGCCCUGGCUGUCUCCCUCAGCACGGCGGGAUAGGAGUUGUUUAAUGCCCCUGUGUGCAGGGCCUGUGUGCAGGCUCCGAGGAGGGUGCUGUGAAGACCACCCAUGUCUCUUUCUCUGCUUCGAGGGAGCAGAAAGCUGAGCUGGGGGAAGAACACUUGCCUGUUGGAACAUUCACUCCUCCCAACUUAGGAACAUCCCCAGAGCAGCACAGCACAUGAACUGGGGCAGAUGGAGGCAGUGCUCCAGAGAACUGGUGUGUUCUGAGAGGUGGCAGAGCAGGAAGGCCGCAUCGCAUGGGUAAUGGGGGAGCCUCGGCAGAAUCUGUACAGAGAACGGAAGGUGGAUGGGGGGGGGAACCCUGGGAAGGGGCAGUCCCAUCUGUCUCCUCAUUGUUCUGAGGGACAAUUCAUGUCCCAGUUAUGAGACCUCUGUUUCCUCAUCUGCCAACAUCAUGGUCUAAUGGGCAAGAUCAAAGGCGUGGUUAUCAGAGUGACUUGGGUUUAAAUCCCGGAUCUCCUAAUUGACGGAGUGACCUUGGGAAAGUCAUCUGAGCUUUAGUUUUCUCAUCCUGCCAGGAUAGCAGGAGGUAGAAUGGCAGUGAGACUAACUGCUUGGAGGAUGGUACAUGCUCGGUAUGCCCCAGCUUGCAGUUUCAGAGCCUCAAGGUUCUUGCCUUCUCUGAGGAAUGUCGAAAGCUAGGCUCUGUAAGGACUGGGCACGCAGUGCUCAAUUAAAUCACAAAUUCUAGCCCAAAGCAAGAUGGGUUUAAGGUUAAUGAAAAACACUUGAUCACUCUAGUUAAUUGUCUCCUCUCCUAGAAAGGGCUAAAAGAUAUACUUUUCAAAAAGAUAAAGCCAUGACUUUCACCCACAUAGAUAAUGAACAUGUGCCAAAGAUGUCACUUAACUCAAGAGGAAAUUCAUGCUCUUGUCCCAUAGUCUCUACUGUUGUCUCUUUGAUUGUUCUGGUUUCCUCCCACAGGCUUUAAUUCUUACUGUACAGGCUGAAGAAAAUGCAUGUAGGUGUUAGGGGUGGGGGUGGUGAGGAGCAUAACCUUGGUUUUAAGAAUGUGCUUUCCAUCUUACAGUGUGUUUUGUGGCCAGUUUCCUAAUUCCUGGCGAGCCCUGAUUAGUCUUAGGAGGGAGGUGUUCCUGAGGGCAAAUGCUAUGGGGUGAAGAGAGAUGAAACAGAAAGGAAGAAGAGGGGAGACCUUGUCAUGGAAAUCCAGCUGAUCCAUGCAGGGAGCCUGCGAACUGAGCGCUAACAGCUUCAUUCAUCAGCGUUUAUCGAGUACUCACUGCAUCACAGAGGAGGAAGUUGCAGUGAAAAUAAGCUCCAUGUCAGGAUGAACUUUCUACCACCAGAACUGUCCCAAGAUGGACUUUUUCCUUGAGGGGGCUGAGGGGACAUUCACGUUUACUGCUUUGACAAUCUCUUGGUGAUGACACAGGUAACUGAGAAAGCUGUACAAAACACAGUCUCUGUUCUUGGAAAACGCAAAAGAGAGCUGGAAGAACAGAAUACAUGCUGAGAGGUGGGUGGACCAUCUUCUACCUAUGCUUCAAAGAAGCAGCAGGCAACUUUGUCAAAGAUGUUGAGUAAGCUUCAUCUUCUGCAGGUAUCUUUUUUUAAUGUAGAAAUAUGUCUAGGAAGGGAUAACGCCUGGUUAUGAUGUAGUUGACUUCAAUCAUGGUGGCAAGGCAUAUCAGAAUCAUUUCCCACAAACACUUGUGGGGCUUUUACUACCAACAUAGUUGUGGGUACCAUGGCUACAAAGAUGAAAGUGGUCCCAGUUCCUUAGAGGUGUAAAAUUCUGUAAGGAAAGCUAACAACUGUUACAUAAAGAAGCCCCUAUAUACAGUAGCUGACAUGCAUCCAUUGCUCUCUUCAUCGAUUUUUAUACAUUUACACACUCGAGACUACAAUUCUCUCAGCUAUAAAGCUGCUCUCAUUUUCUAAGUUUGGAGUUGUGCUUUUUUAAAUUAUCUUGGCAGCAAGGAGACCCAGACUAGGAGAUGAAAAGGCAGCUCAAACAUGAGAAAUUUUUGCUACAUUGUUGAGACGGUCUUGGGAGGGCUAGAAUUUAAGUUUGGGGCUCUCAGUGCCCACUGAAUGUGAAUUACCACUGAACAGUGCAGGCCUGAAAACUCCAGCAUGGAGUGGAGUUGAUGGUCACUGUUGAAGCCCCUGCUUUCAAACAGCUUGCAACCUAGGGAGUGUGACUGUGGGGGCAUUGGUCUAAAAGGCAAACUGAUAUAAAUGCUUGGGAAGAUUUAGAGAAGAAAGCUAUUAUGGCCUCUUGAGGGGCAGUAAUCAGGAAAAGCUCAGCAGGAGAGGUCUUAUUAGAAAUAUCGACCCUGAUGACUGGUGGGAUUUCAACCAAGGGAGAGGAAAAGGGGUCCUUGCAGAAUCGUGCUUGCAUUCCUGAAUAUGGCAGAUUUGACAGUCAGUGAGACCGCCUCCCCAGGAGUCAGACUAUUCAGUUUCAUUAGGAGGACAGAGUUAAGGAUGAAGGCUUAGAUUCUUAGUUAGAAUGUGUGUGCUACUUAGGGGUCCUCAUAAAUAAACAAUAGUCCUAACAUCCAUCUUGUAAUCCACACAAAGACGAUUAAGGGCACAAGCUGGUAAUGUUCUCAUUUUAAAAAGAUUCCUCACUUAUUGGACAAUCUUCUAUUGUGUACUGAAAGCUCAAGGGCACAGUGAGAAGUCAGUGUUUUUAAAAUAUCCUAGAAGGACAGCAAAUACGGCAUUGAUUCAUAUACAAAAUGAAUGUGACAAAUCUAUGACCACGAGGCAUAGCUUGGAAUUCUUACAGAGCAAGGUAGUGUGUGGCCAGUGGGCCUAGCAUGACUGAGGUCUUUAUUCAUUCACAUCACCCUGGGACAGGUACAGUGAUGUUGCCCACCUGGGGGACUCCAAGCUUGUAUGCUGAGGCCAAAUGAGUUAAUGCGUGACCACCAGGAUGUGCACCAUGCUUUCAAAUGUCUGGCCACGGACUGAAGCUCUUGCCCCUGUAUCCCCAUCAGUGUCUCUGAAGGACAAAGGAACAGUACAGGAGCUUGGAUUGUCAAGGAUCUACUUGGAGAUGACUUCAAAUUGACCAUUCCUCCAGAAACGGAUGUGUCAAUUCUGCACUGAGAGUAAAGCUCAAUAAUGAAAGCAUACCCUUAUUACUAAUCUUCUGGUUAAUACUUCCCUUCUUUCACUGGCCAGUGCUGCAGCUGCCUUCCUUCUUUUUAUGUUGGCUUUGAAACCAAAACCUAACAGUGUUAACCCUUUUUUUAACUCCUCCGACUUGCAUGGCUCCCAGAAUAAAGACCCUGGAGCGAGGAGUUAAGGGCUCGCAUGACUGGAUGUUGUCCUUUCUAACUUCUCCCUCACCAACAUCUCCCUAGCUCUCUUCACUCCAGCCCUUUGAUGAUACUUUUCAGCCCCUGGAAACUUUAAAUUCUUCCCCAAACUUCAAAUUCCUCCUUCCAGGCUUUUGCACAUCUGCUCAUCUGCCUUGUCUUCACCUGUCACUUUGCACUUAAGAGUCAGAUCUCAGCUAAAGCUUCACUUUCUUCGGGAAGUGCUCCCCGACCUCCACUUUCGGCUCAGGGUAUCCACCAUAAACCCUCUCACCAGCGCACAGGCUGCUCCUUCCAGUCCUCAUUGCAUCUGUAAGGUAGUAUGUAUUUUGUCAUGAUGUCAUGGACGGUCUGUCUUCCCCAGUGGACUGUAAACUCCACAGUGUAAGGGUCCCUAUUUGUCCUUCUCACAGUUUCAUCUCUAGCAUAUACCACAGUUCCUCACACAUGGUAGCCAAAUUUCACAGGUUACUUUCUUCUUUUGGCGGGGGGGGGGAGUGCUCACCUGUGGCAUGUCGAAAUUCCUGGGCCAGGGGUCGAAUUGGAGCUGCAGCCGCCAGCCUAUGCCACAGCCACAGCAAUGCCAGAUUGGAGCCUCGCCUGUGACCUAUGCCAUAGCUCAUGGCAAUGCUGGAUUUAACCCACUGAGUGGGGCCAGGGAUAGAACCUGCGUCCUCACAGAUACUGAUUUGGUUCAUUACUGCUGAGCCACAGUGGAAAUUCCUCACAGGUUAUUUUCUAUUCAUCCAACCAAUAUUUAUUGAGCACCCACUAACCAAUGCUAGUGAUUAUUGCACAAAGUGAGAAAGGAAAAAAUGCCCCAAGAUCAUGGUUGAGGAUUCACUGGAGAAAGGGAAGUUACAGAGGCAAAUCCAACAUGAUUUAAACAGGAAAAUGAGUAAAAUAUAGAAGUUAGUAAAACAGUUUCUCCGUUCCUGACAAAGAAAGCCUCCUGGCAUGCUACACUGCAGCUCAUGGCUAUUACCAGGCACUUGUGGUUUCCAAGGAUUAUAAAUGCACUGAUGUAGCCUGCACUUUUAAUGACACAUCAAAUCAGUAGGGGGGGAGUUGUUCAGAACUUUGGGAAAUUCAACCGAGAAUGUUUACUUCAUUUAGCAAAUAUCUACUUAGGCAGAGUCUUUGAUGGGAUAGCUCUGACAUGUUGGGCCCUGCCGGGGAGUCUUACCUGUUCAGAAAAGAUUCACUCACAAGGCAGAAGAUACUUUGAUAAGUGCAGGAAAGAGCUAGAGCCUAGAUUUAUUUAUGUCAGUCAAGACAUAUACAGAGAACAUGCCAUCUUUUAGAAUGAAAAUCAAAUCCUGAAGAACGGUUUUUUAAGAGAAGUUUGUUUGCAGUGACACGAUCACUUGAGAGCAUCAAUUUGAGUCUUUGUAUCCAGAGUUUACUGACUGCAGAAUGAAUAUAUUACACAUCAUCUGCCUUUGGCAUUGCACUGUAAAUAUUUCAUGGCUUUAAAUACAUGCCAUGAUUAGGUAUGUGUUUUAGUAGACAAGUGAAUAAGGGUGUAGAGCAAUGGAAUGAAAAUAUUUCCUUUCAGUUCAGCACAUUUUCAUCUGGGGGCUUUAAAAACACAUUAGAGAGAAAAAUUCUACAGUGCUGAGGUUCUCCUGGUGAUAACAGAGCUGAGGAUGGGAAACAGAUCCUAAGUUUUGGUCUUUAGUGCUCCCUGAAAAUGCUCAUAGACAUCCUCAGCUAUUUCACAAAUUUGUUUUGGUAUUAAAUAUUACUCCAAAAGCCAGUUUUUAAGUUAUUUAGCCAAUAAAGAUGGGGAAAGGGUUUUAAUGUUGAAGUAGCCUUGAAAUCAAACGAACAAAUACAAAUAAAGAACAUUCAACAAAUGUUACUGAGCACUUAUUAUGUAUUGAUCUGCUUAAUAUCCAAUUUGACAUGACAUUUAGGAGAUUCUGGUGUCUUAGAGAUCAAGUUAAGAUUGGUUUGAAUCCCCAAAUCCAUAUUCUUUGAAAGUCCAUUUUCUUCGGCCUUAAAGGAACCAUUUAAGAGGGGAAAUCAGGCAGGUUUGAGAAUAAUUAUAACACAGGAUAGAAGUAAAGUCAACAGAAGAGUAAGAGGUAAGUGUUUAGAGGAGAAAGAGAGAGGAACAAUUCCAUUGGAAGAAGCAGAGAACGUUGGUAACUAUGGAGAUGGGUUUAGAUGAACAAAAAGGAUACAACCGUGGACCGAGGAUGUAGUAUGAGCAGGUGCAUGGCGGCAGGAAGUGUGGACAGGUACAGGGAAGAAUCAUCCUUUGGUCUGACUGGAGUGAAAGGUAGGUGAAGGGGAGUAGCUGGGAUUAGACUGGAAAGGCAAAGGAAGGCCAGAUUUGGGGGGACUUUGGAAGUU